CCUGGUGGCCUAGAUGGUAAAGCGUCUGCCUGCAAUGCGGGAGACUCGGGUUCAAUUCCUGGGUCAGGA
rnacentral:tRNA from 1 species